GACGAACGCUGGCGGCGUGCUUAACACAUGCAAGUCGAACGGAAAGGCCCUGCUUUUGUGGGGUGCUCGAGUGGCGAACGGGUGAUUAACACGUGAGUAACCUGCCCUUGACUUUGGGAUAACUUCAGGAAACUGGGGCUAAUACCGGAUAGUAGCUCCUGCUGCAUGGUGGGGGUUGGAAAGUUUCGGCGGUUGGGGAUGGACUCGCGGCUUAUCAGCUUGUUGGUGGGGUAGUGGCUUACCAAGGCUUUGACGGGUAGCCGGCCUGAGAGGGUGACCGGACACAUUGGGACUGAGAUACGGCCCAGACUCAUACGGGAGGCAGCAGUGGGGAAUAUUGCACAAUGGGCGGAAGCCUGAUGCGGCAACGCCGCGUGGGGGAUGACGGCAUUCGGGUUGUAAACCGCUUUCGCCUGUGACGAAGAGUGAGUGACGGUAAUGGGUAAAGAAGCACCGGCUAACUACGUG
rnacentral:rRNA from 1 species